AAUAUUCCUAAAGGGGAGUAGCUGUACAAUUUAAGUCGUCAUUACGAGAAAUAUUCUCCGGCUUAUUUUGGCAACGGACGUUGUUUGCGAGACCUUUACCACUAAC
rnacentral:misc_RNA from 1 species